UACGUAGGGGGCAAGCGUUGUCCGGAAUCAUUGGGCGUAAAGCGCGUGUAGGCGGCCCGGUAAGUCCGCUGUGAAAGUCCAGGGCUCAACCCUGGGAUGGCGGUGGAUACUGUCGGGCUCGAGUCCGGAAGAGGCGAGUGGAAUUCCUGGUGUAGCGGUGAAAUGCGCAGAUAUCAGGAGGAACACCAAUGGCGAAGGCAGCUCGCUGGGACGUGACUGACGCUGAGACGCGAAAGCGUGGGGAGCAAACAGG
rnacentral:rRNA from 1 species